UAUUCCCAGGCAGUGGAACAAGAGUAACACACAUGGAGAGCUGUUCGUUGACUCCAACAGCAUCCUGGCACAUUUCCACCCACAACACACUGAGAUAUGAAGGGACCAAAGAGGAGGAAGGACGGAUAAAAGACGUCUGUUUACCUUAUCGAUCAUGUCGGGCCGGUUGGUGGCGGCCAACACGGUGACGUCUCGGAGCUGCUCGAUGCCGUCCAUCUCUGUCAGGAGCUGAGCCAGGACCCGGUCGCCUACACCGCCGGAGCCCGAGGAGCUGGAGAUGUGGACGAGAACAGAAGACAGAUGAGUGAAAGACAGGGAAACAAAAGAUGAGAUUGAUGUGGUGAUGGACGAUUGUAUGGCAGGAUGGAUGAUGGAGAGGGAAAGGAACGUGUGUAAUUUAGAGAGAAACUAGGAAAAAGGAAGUAAUGGAUGGUGAUGAAUUACAGAUAGAUCAUGGAGGAGUGGAUUGGUGGAAAGAUGGACAGCAUAUUGUAAAGAAAUGAAGGAAAUGUAGAAAAGAGAAACAAUUUCAUAUGCUGUUUGUUAUUAUGACCCAUAUUUAUGCUUACAACAUACAACCUCUAGUGAUCGUAGUAAUUCACGAGGGAGAGGAUGAAUAAGAUUUAGCGUGAGAGGAAGAUGGAAUAUGCAUCAGACAAACCAAUACC